AAAAAGAAGAACGAUUUUCCCCAGAUUUCUUUGUUUCCUUUUUCUUCUGCUACACUCAUUAUUUUCUUUCUUUUUUUUUUCCU
rnacentral:ribozyme from 1 species